GGCCCCGGGCGAGCCCUCGGAGGCCGCUGCGGCGCGGGGCGCGUCGACCCCCGCAGGCCCCCAGGGCCCGGAGGCCUCCGAAAUUCGGCUCCGGGUCUGUGGGGGGCGAAAUGCAACCCACACCCCGUUUUACCGAACCCUGCGCAAAUAAAACACGCACAAGCACGCACACAGACGCCGCCGCGGCCCGGCCGGGGAAGAGCCGGGACCCGCCAGCGGCCGCCGCUCGAGAUCGGCCGCUGAGAGGUGCGACGAUUGCAGUGCGUUGAGGUCCGAGGUCCACCUGCCCGUCAGCUCUUCCAGGCCAGCACCGUCAUCUGACGACUCCCAGGUUUGCGCGGGAUUAGGGUCCCACCUCUCUAAAUGCGAAUCAGUGAAGGCACGAGUGAAUGGGAUUUUCAGGAUUCAGUGUAACGCCCUCUCUGCCAAAGAAUGCAGAAUCCAGAAUUGGCAAAAAAAAAAAAAAAAAGUAUGCUGGAUCUCAGCCAUAAGUGUACCUUUUAGGAGCUCCCCCUGUUAAGAGUGGAAACACUAAAACAAGAUGUCUCUCUGUAGUGAUUCCAGCAGUGUGGAUGCCUGGCUGGAAGAGUGCAGGAUAGGAAGCUGGAAGACCAGGGCACUUGAUGUUGUCUGGCUCUGCCUCACAUACCCAGGAUUCCAGACUCUAAAGACCAGAGGCCGGGAAGUGGUUUCAUUCCAGCUUCCUCCUGAUCUGGGGUCUUCUACAUCCAUCAGCAUUUAAAAAAUAUUUUAUAAGCUCAUCAUCUUCAAUUUGACAUGUAUUUUUGAGUACGAGCUUUAUUCAAAGAACCACAUUGGAAACAAAUACAAAGAGCACAUGACAGGCCCACCCUAACAGAAGACUGACAGCGGCUGAUUUCUGACCUAUUACAGCAUCUCUCUUCACUUGUAACAAUACAGCCCGGUAUUCUGGGCUCACUUCCAUCUAGUGACUCCUUUUACCUCAGGACAAGCAAGGAGGCAGGUUAUCACUCUGAACAACAGUUGUCAGUGAUGGAGAGACUGAACUGAAAACAUACCUGGACAUACCUCAGAAAUGGUAUUAAUAACAUUUUUGUCAUCUGAUGUUUUCUUCUAACACUGUUUCUAAGAGUGGGAGCCCAUCAAUUUAUCCCAGUUACUCAAGGUUGUACCGAACCCUCCCUUUUCUUGUUCUUUAAAACCCUCUCAUUUUGAUAUUCUUUCAUAACAGGUCCUUAUUUUACCCAGUGGAAAGCAAAACUUAAUAUUCUUAGAAUAAAAGUUUUUCUGUAAAAGAAUAGAUAGAUACUUGCCGGACUCCACCUACAAAUGUCAUUGUUACUAUUACCAUGUUGGUUAUGAUCCCAAGCAAUAAAUAGAAAAUACGGAGAUUUUAUAUUUACUGAAGUCCCAAGGAAGCAGUUUGCUGGGAAAACAAGUUCCAUAAAUAAUGACAUUUAAGGAAGAACCCACUAAGAAGCAUUAUGAGAAAUGGCAACACUCUUUGGGUGCCACAAGCAGGUUAGCCAGGGUGAGUACUUCUGCCAUUGGAGAUGAAAUAAACUGAAUCACUUUAAAAUUAUUCCUGGCUAAGUUAAAAUUAUGCUGAUUUAACCUAAUUCACUUGGAAUACAACACAAUUGGGAUAUAAUUAAUCUUUCCUCCUGUUUUAGUUGCUAAGGAGAGAAAACAGUUCUGCUUUGUGUACCUUUACCCCAAACUUUCUUGGAAGUCUUAACUUUUUAAGUCUUUCUUUAUAAUUUCAAUCAAAUUAUAACUUUCAUAACUUUAGUUCUUCCAUUAUAUACCAAUAUAUAUUUGCUCCAAGAAUACUUUGGUUUCAACCAUGACUUUUAUACUUCUAUCAAGCAGAUCUCUAUAUCCCAUCUUCACCAAUUUUCUGGACCUGAACUUAGAAAAGGGCAUUUCUGGUCUACCAUCUCCCUGCACACACAGGUGAAUUACAGUAUUAUUCAGCUUUGAUUAUGUAAUUUUCAAGUUUUCUGUAUACGUUAACAAACUUUAUAUUUUCUAAAUGUUUUUAAACUCAAUUUUCUUUAAAUAACCAAGUGUUGAAAACUUUACAAAAAUGUUAAUCAUCUUAAAAUGGUCAAAGUUUUCUUUUUCUUCCUCAAAGCGUCUAAUAGGCAUGUGUGGGUCUUCUGUAGACACACCUGUUUUUAUCUCGAGGGAUAUGUGACUAAUUCUCCCUCUAGUCAACUUUUUUCAAACAGGGCCAGUCUAUAUUAGUGUGAUGAUGCUAAUUUACAAAAUAUCUUGAGUAAAUAAAGGGAGAUGUAAAA